UCUAAAAUCCCAUAGUCCGCCAACACUUAGCCAAAUAAUUCAGAAAAACGCCUUUUCCUCUUUCUCUAGUCUCUACAUCUAUCUCUCAAUACUUUUUUCACGCUCUCUCCUUCAACCCUAAUCCCCUUUCUCUAUCUCCAAAACUUAAACCCAUAGGCAAUAAAAAAAAAAAAAUCAGAUCUGAUCUUCCUAUUGUCUACGUCGAUGACCAGCCCAGAAUCAAACCCAGAUCUUCUUCAACCUCUUCUCAUCGUCUUCUAUUUCUUUUCUCCUCCUUCUCGGCUCAUAACCUUCGACCACAUCACCAUUAAACACUAUAAUUAUUUUUCCUUCACCUGUACUCAGAAAUUUCUCCGAUUUGGUAUUAUUUGAACUCAAAUCUCCUUCAUCCUGAGUUGAGUCUGAGUUUACUCGCCGUCCGAGCUAUUGCAAAGAGGACUCAGAUCUGAUUUUGUAUCCCACGAUAUAGCGAUUAUGAAGCCAGAGAGAGAGACGAAGAGAGGAGUCUGGGUUCGAUAAAAUUGGCGGAGGGAGAAAGAAAGAGUCUUGGUUCUUACUCUUAUCUUAGUUAACAUCUUAUUGUUGACAUAUUUAUUUUAUGUCAACUAGAACAUGAUCUGACUUGUUACAACAUAUAUAAGUGUUAUCCAUUGGAUUGAAUUCUGCAAUAUUUAGGUUUGCAAAGAUAAAUUUCUUAGGAAGUUUGAAUUUGUUCUCACGGAUUAGGAUUUAGGACAAGUUUUUGGUUUCUAAACAACAUUGUGUAUUGUUCUUUCUUGUUGUGGUGUGUAAGGAGCAAAGGAUAGUGAAAGCAGAAGAGUGGGAUUCGUUAAUGGAGAUCCUUCUUAAGCCAUUGUCUGCUGCUUUCAGAGUUAUUUCCAAUUGCUUAUUGGUUAAUUUGCGAUGAUCUUCGACUCAAGUUGGAGAAUGAUUUCAUGAAAUCUCUUCAGGAUGAGCUGCUUGAAAUAAUUCAUGAAUCAUCAGAAUCAGGAUCUCUACCUAAUGGAAUGGUGGUGGUGAAUGAACUGCAACAACAACGAUACUUUGUCCAAAGAAGCAUCUGAGGUUAAUCAUCAUCUGAGUUACAUGUAUAUGUUCUAGAACUUAGAAGUUUGUCUCUAUUUUUUGGUGAUGUUAGUUUAUUUUAAUUAAGAUUUUUAUGUAAGACUUUAUGUUAUGUAAGACUUCAUUUUGUUAAUGUAAUA